rnacentral:snRNA from 1 species
GCCAGCAAGUCAAAGGACAUCUCAGGCGCUUGUUUCGAAACAACGCAGAGGAGAUUCACACGUCCCCUGCUCAAGGAUGACACACAAAUUCGUGAAGCAUUCCAUAUUUUA